GCCUGCUUCAGCCACACAUAUACUAAAAUUGGAAUCAUACAAAGAAGAUUAGCAUGGCCCCUGUACAAGGAUGACACGCAAAUUUGUGAAGCGUUCCAUAUUUUU
rnacentral:snRNA from 1 species